rnacentral:rRNA from 1 species
UACAGAGGUCCCAAGCGUUGUUCGGAUUCAUUGGGCGUAAAGGGUGUGUAGGCGGCGCCGUAAGUCAGGUGUGAAAUCUCGGGGCUUAACUCCGAAACUGCAUUUGAUACUGCGGUGCUUGAGGACUGGAGAGGAGACUGGAAUUUACGGUGUAGCGGUGAAAUGCGUAGAUAUCGGGAGGAAGACCAGUGGCGAAGGCGGGUCUCUGGACAGUUCCUGACGCUGAGGCACGAAGGUCAGGGGAGCAAACGGG